GAAAUAAAACAGUUUGGACAUGAAUCUAUAAGCUUGGACCAUGAAUCUAAUGCUAGGUCUAUGGCUUGGACUGUUUGGCUUUGGAAUUCUUGAGACGCCAGCGCCAUUUAUUCUCGUUUUGUUUGUGUUUGAUCACACACACCACAGAAAACCCCCUGGGGUGGUCUGGUCUGUGACCGGUGUGACGCACACAUAAUGCACAAUCAGCACAAUGCAUUCAGAUUCACGGCGGCGGCGGCACGGUUCCAUUUUGUUCGUGACUGCCAUGUGGUAAACAUUAGUUAACAGAUUUCAAAUUGCAAUUACAUAGUGCUAUAUAAUAAUGUUCUACCGCAGGCACAUUAACGAGAAAAGUGUUUGUAAAAUGGGUCUACAUUUCGCUCUACCAACAUCAGUGUCUGAAAAAACAAACUGUGCAGUAGCAUAUGUGAUUAUGUGCACCGAGAUACACAAAAUGGCCGAACCAUGCAUAUCCUUUUUUUUGCUAUUCAACAAUAUAAAAAGCGCUUUAAGAAUACCUGAAGAUUUUUGUAUGGUGAUUAUAUAUUUAUUUAUCGUAUGGCAUUUUAAUCAAAAGGUGAUGCUUCAAGACUCAUCCUAUGGUAUUGUUACAACUGUGAACAGCAGAAACUUAAGAUGAAAGUUGAAACAUUAGUGAUGAAGUCAUACUAUAGAAAACGACGGAAAAUGGAUUAAUGACAAAUUCAUUCUAAGUGGCCUAGGAAAUAUUAACAGCUGCAGAUCUGAAAAACUAGCAAGUUGAAUAAGAGCUAGCUAGAAAAAGAAGAAUUAACAUAUUUGAUGAAGACACACUGUAUCGAUUGCCUGCCCUAACUACAGUAGUGAAUCUACUCAAAUACUAUUAAGCGUCAACCCUCUGCAAGUAAAUUAAGAAAAAUACAUGCAGAAGCCUUCAGCUACAUGUGGUUAACAUCUGAGAAGAUAUUUGAAAAUAUCAAAGCAGCAGUAUUUAGUAUGACUGGACCCAACUUGAGAAAACUUGGGAGGGUUGCAUUGAAGGAGCUGUUCUGUCAGCCCAAAAAAAUGUAAUACUUAUUGACAAAAAUUGGAAAAUGAAACAUUGAUCCAUCACAAGGGAAAUUAAUUGUUCUGUCAUCAGAGAAAGCUGCUUGCUGGGAUUGUUGUUCCAAUAUGGGUGGAAAUUACAUUGUGGACGACAUUUCAUAUGUUUCAGACUGUCUUUUUUCAUCAAUUUUUUCUUAUUAUGGGUCUGGUGACCUGGAUUUCAUUAUGCUAGUUUGGGUUUGUUUGUCAAUGUUGUGAUUCUACAAGAAAAACGUGUUCUAUGUUCUAUCAGUAGUCAAAAGAUCUAAUUUUAGUUUGAAAAACAAUACUGGGGUGUUGGUAGUACAGUCGGGUGAGGUCUUCAAAAAGCUGUUCUGUCAGUAGUCAAUUUUCAGUAUCGAAAUUAUAAAUAUUAUUUUUGG